CAAACGUGAUGGUGUUUAUGACGUCGAAUAUCGACGUCAUAAACACGAAAUUUGAUCGUGUUUAUGACGUCGAAUAUCGACGUCAUAAACACCAAAU